GUUAGAACAAAAAUGCUUAAUUUUGAAUAUCACAAUCAUUUCACCAUUCAUAAAACUAUGAAACAUCAUAUUAAAAUACUCUAAAUAAACAAAUGUAGAAUAUGGAUUAUAUCGAGUACCAUAUCAGCUCAAUGAUUUAUGACAAUAUCAGUCGCAUAUACAGAUUAUAUAAAAAAAUAAAUUAAAGAAUUCACGUACGAGUCCGUCCUUGACACAAACUUGCUAGCUUUUCACCCUCCAUCAACGAGAGCACAGCAACGUUACUCCUCCUUGUUCCACUAUUUAACGUGCCUAGCUAAAAUAUCAAUGCCAACAAUUGUCCAAAAACUUUUCUAAUUUAAAUCAAGACAUUGUCUUAAUUUCCUGUUUUAAUUUGUUAGUGUUGCUUGUUCAAGUACGCUAAUAAAUGUUUGUUACAUUUGUUAAAAACAGUAAAAUUUAAAAGAGAGUAAAGAAAGUAUUUGAAAACUUCUGAAAGGGGAAUGUUAGAUUACUUGCCUCAGUGAUUUAAUCUAGUGCCGACAGUCACAAAUUGUGCUUCAUAGCCCUAAUGCAGAAGCUCUUAAAUAAUUUGCAUCUUAAGUCCUUCGAAAAUAAAUGUAUUUCAAAUACGUGGAAGGAAUUUGAACAUAGAGAGAAAAGGGAACGAGUGACCAUGAGGGAAAGUAACCGCAAUGAAAACGAAUUUUUACUUAGCAUACGACUACUCAGCUCUGAUAUUUUUAGGAUAUAAUGUAGCUUGGUGGCAAAAAUAGUUGAAAUCGAUAUAGGAAUAACCUCAGCUAAAUAUAAAGAUUAUCGUUAAUCUAAUGAGCUUUUUGAUGAAUGUUUCUGUCUAAUUGUGUGUUACCUUAAUAUCAUUACAAAAAUAAAUUGCACCUAGCCCUUUCAUACUUGUUUACUUAGAAACACGUUAACGUUAACACGAAAACAUUUAACGCAGUAUUCUUUGUAUACUGAAGUGUCAUACUUUUUUAUUUUUUUAUUAAACGAGGCAAUGUAAAGACAAACUCAUAAGGUUCUUGGAAUAUUAUUACAUCUUUUGGGAUUUCAAAUAAUUGGGUGAAUUCUUCUCAAGAGUGUAGUAAUAGCGUGAUAUUGAAAGUGUCAGAGAACGUUAUAAACAAUCGUGAUCCUUAAUUUUAACAAUUAAAAACUAUAAAUGCAAACAUAAUACAGUCAAUACGCAAAUUUAAUCAUCAUCAUUUAACUCGUCAAACAUUUUGCCGGUAUUUUCACAAAGAUGAUGAGUAUUUACUACUUGGAACAUUUUCAUAAUGAUCACAUUCAGAUGCUGAUGAAUCGCCGUUCUUGUACAUAAGCGAACCCACUAAAUUGGCCUGUGAGUAAUUAUAAGUAAACUCGAAUACAAUACCUGAAGUACCGCUUUGGAAUAGCGCAAAACCACAAUCGACAAAAGCUGCACUUUCGUUUGUUAUUGCUGUGAAGUGCGCGAGUUUUUACCAGACAGCGCUGGAAUUCUUUUAAGACAAUUCGUUUGCCAGAGCAUUGCCUUAAUCAAAAAAUUGAUAUUCGGGCCACCUAUUUAAUGUAAUUUUCACCUCAUCAACUAAGGCUUUAUACGUCCACCCCACAUAUUAAAAUUUUGAUCAGAGUCUGUAAACCGUUCAGUACCAUGACAAGCAUCGUGCUCCAUAUUACAACGUAUUGCAUGGAUUCCGGCUAUAUAUGCUAACUCGUAAUCUCAGAUUAAUUCACGCAUGCGAGUGGAUUUUGGAAAGAUUCUAGCGCCUUGAUUUCCAAAUUCUUGUUCACCCCCAGCUAAUCUGUUGCGAUGUUCAUGGUGCGAUCAACAUAAAGACGUUUGAUUGAGCCUGUCAAUGUAAAAAGAGCACAACCACUUGAGCAACCACAGAGAUCACACAUAAAAUGUUUGCUAGUGUCACAUAAUUCAUUCUGUUUAUUACAAUAAUAAUACGCAUCGGUGAAAAUACAAGGCCCUAUCGAAAUA